GAAUCUGGAGACAGGUGCUGCAUGGCUGUCGUCAGCUCGUGUCGUGAGAUGUUGGGUUAAGUCCCGCAACGAGCGCAACCCUUGCCUUUAGUUGCCAGCAGUUCGGCUGGGCACUCUAAAGGGACUGCCGGUGUUAAACCGGAGGAAGGUGGGGAUGACGGUCAAGUCCUCAUGGCCUUUAUGACCAGGGCUACACACGUACUACAAUGGCCGAUACAAAGGGCAGCGACACUGCGAGGUGAAGCCAAUCCCGUAAAAUCGGUACUCAGUCCGGAUUGGAGUCUGCAACUCGACUCCAUGAAGUUGGAAUCGCUAGUAAUCGUGGAUCAGCAUGCCACGGUGAAUACGUUCCCGGGCCGUU
rnacentral:rRNA from 1 species